CAUUUUGGUUCAGGUCUUGUUGGUCCCUUCAUUGUCCAUGUUACUUGUUGCGCGUUAUGCUUUUCAAAGUCACGUCAAGAUUCUAGUAUUGAAGUCAUACUUUGUUACAUUGCAUAGUUUUUGGUUGUCACUAUAAGUGGUUCUCAAAAAUGAAACAUUUUCGAGAUUCCUCCACUCCCGCCCUGCGUCCCUGCUUCCCGGACUCGGGUCCUCCACGCCUCGCCGCGCCUUCCUCGAGCCCCGAAUGUGACAGCGGUGAACCGAGUGUUCGCAGUCAGCCGCAAAGAUAAAGGAAUCGGCCGCUACGCUACGUUUGGAGAGGGAGCGCGGCGAGACGACCGAUAACCGCGCAGCUGUUGUUUGCGGGGUCACCACGGAAACGGAGGCAAGAAAAGCCUUUUGGGACAGUGAUGGAUCCAAUGAAUAUGACAGCUGAUGAAAUGCAUCAUGGCUUGUAUGUCCUGUCGAAAAAUACGGACGGAUUUUGUGAGUGCGAGGCGGGGGGAGAUGACAUCAUCCCGUCUGAGAUUAAUUACAAAAACAGUUUUGGAGGUAGCUGGAGUGAUUUAUGAUCUGUGAUGAUUUGAGCGCUUAUUGGAUGCAAUGUGUGCAUUGCCCCCCCCCCCCCCGGGUGUGUAACAUAAAUAAAGAUGUAGGAAGGAAAAUUAACUUUGUAAUUACUUUGUAAUCAAAUAGUUGGUUCUCUGAAUAAUGUAGUCGUGGUACCUAUUUGGGGUUGCGGGGGCUCUUGUAGCUGGCCCAAGUGUCAAAUGUUGAAAAAAUGUUGACCCAGCAGCCAGACUAACGGGGAUUCCCCCCCCCCCCCCGCACUAUCGUACUGGGUGGCAGCGC